GACACUAUGUGUUGUUGGGUAGGGGAGCGUUCUGUAAGCCUGUGAAGGUGUGUCGUGAGGCAUGCUGGAGGUAUCAGAAGUGCGAAUGCUGACAUAAGUAACGAUAAAGCGGGUGAAAAGCCCGCUCGCCGGAAGACCAAGGGUUCCUGUCCAACGUUAAUCGGGGCAGGGUGAGUCGACCCCUAAGGCGAGGCCGAAAGGCGUAGUCGAUGGGAAACGGGUUAAUAUUCCCGUACUUGGUGUUACUGCGAAGGGGGGACGGAGAAGGCUAUGUUGGCCGGGCGACGGUUGUCCCGGUUUAAGCGUGUAGGUGUGUGUUCCAGGUAAAUCCGGUUCACUUUAACACUGAGGCGUGACGACGAGGCACUACGGUGCUGAAGCAACAAAUGCCCUGCUUCCAGGAAAAGCCUCUAAGCAUCAGGUAACAUCAAAUCGUACCCCAAACCGACACAGGUGGUCAGGUAGAGAAUACCAAGGCGCUUGAGAGAACUCGGGUGAAGGAACUAGGCAAAAUGGUGCCGUAACUUCGGGAGAAGGCACGCUGACACGUAGGUGAAGUGAUUUACUCAUGGAGCUGAAGUCAGUCGAAGAUACCAGCUGGCUGCAACUGUUUAUUAAAAACACAGCACUGUGCAAACACGAAAGUGGACGUAUACGGUGUGACGCCUGCCCGGUGCCGGAAGGUUAAUUGAUGGGGUCAGCGCAAGCGAAGCUCCUGAUCGAAGCCCCGGUAAACGGCGGCCGUAACUAUAACGGUCCUAAGGUAGCGAAAUUCCUUGUCGGGUAAGUUCCGACCUGCACGAAUGGCGUAAUGAUGGCCAGGCUGUCUCCACCCGAGACUCAGUGAAAUUGAACUCGCUGUGAAGAUGCAGUGUACCCGCGGCAAGACGGAAAGACCCCGUGAACCUUUACUAUAGCUUGACACUGAACAUUGAGCCUUGAUGUGUAGGAUAGGUGGGAGGCUUUGAAGUGUGGACGCCAGUCUGCAUGGAGCCGACCUUGAAAUACCACCCUUUAAUGUUUGAUGUUCUAACGUGGACCCGUGAUCCGGGUUGCGGACAGUGUCUGGUGGGUAGUUUGACUGGGGCGGUCUCCUCCUAAAGAGUAACGGAGGAGCACGAAGGUUGGCUAAUCCUGGUCGGACAUCAGGAGGUUAGUGCAAUGGCAUAAGCCAGCUUGACUGCGAGCGUGACGGCGCGAGCAGGUGCGAAAGCAGGUCAUAGUGAUCCGGUGGUUCUGAAUGGAAGGGCCAUCGCUCAACGGAUAAAAGGUACUCCGGGGAUAACAGGCUGAUACCGCCCAAGAGUUCAUAUCGACGGCGGUGUUUGGCACCUCGAUGUCGGCUCAUCACAUCCUGGGGCUGAAGUAGGUCCCAAGGGUAUGGCUGUUCGCCAUUUAAAGUGGUACGCGAGCUGGGUUUAGAACGUCGUGAGACAGUUCGGUCCCUAUCUGCCGUGGGCGCUGGAGAACUGAGGGGGGCUGCUCCUAGUACGAGAGGACCGGAGUGGACGCAUCACUGGUGUUCGGGUUGUCAUGCCAAUGGCACUGCCCGGUAGCUAAAUGCGGAAGAGAUAAGUGCUGAAAGCAUCUAAGCACGAAACUUGCCCCGAGAUGAGUUCUCCCUGAGACUUAAAGUCUCCUG
rnacentral:rRNA from 1 species